GUGCUCACUUCGGCAGCACAUAUACUAAAAUUAGAACAAUGGAAGAUUAAUAUGACCCCCGAGCAACGAUGACACACAAAUUCUUGAAGCAUUCCAUAUUUUU